rnacentral:rRNA from 1 species
AUCAUUACAGAGUUACACUACUCCAAACCCAUUGUGAACCUUACUUUAUGUUCUGUUGCCUCGGCGGGCCGGCAGCGCCCCCCUUCUGAAAAAAGAGAGGGACGACGCCCCCCGCCGGCAGCACCAAACUCUGAAUUUUAUAGCGGAUUACAAGUUCUGAUUAGAGACAAAAAACGAAUCAAAACUUUCAACAACGGAUCUCUUGGUUCUGGCAUCGAUGAAGAACGCAGCGAAAUGCGAUAAGUAAUGUGAAUUGCAGAAUUCAGUGAAUCAUCGAAUCUUUGAACGCACAUUGCGCCCGGCAGUAAUCUGCCGGGCAUGCCUGUCCGAGCGUCAUUUCAACCCUCGAACCUCUGUUUCCUAGCGAAGCGGCAGGGUCGGCGUUGGGGCGCUACGGCGAGUCUUCGCGACCCCGUAGGCCCUGAAAUACAGUGGCGGUCCCGCCGCGGUUGCCUUCUGCGUAGUAAGUCUUUUUUUGCAGGCUCGCAUUGGGUCCCGGCGGAGGCCUGCCGUCAAACCGCCUAUAACUUCUCAAGAUGGU